CCUACGGUGUACGGCAGUGGGGAAUAUUGGGCAAUGGGCGCAAGCCUGACCCAGCCACGCCGCGUGAAGGAAGAAGGCUUUCGGGUUGUAAACUUCUUUUCUCAGGGACGAAGCAAGUGACGGUACCUGUGGACUAAGCCACGGCUAACUACGUGCCAGCAGCCGCGGUAAUCCGUAGGUGGCAAGCGUUAUCCGGAUUUACUGGGUGUAAAGGGCGUGUAGGCGGGAAAGCAAGUCAGAUGUGAAAACCAUGGGCUCAACCUGUGGCCUGCAUUUGAAACUGGUUUUCUUGAGUACUGGAGAGGCAGACGGAAUUCGUAGUGGAGCGGUGAAAGGCGUAGAUAUUAGGAGGAACACCAGUGGCGAAGGCGGUCUGCUGGACAGCAACUGACGCUGAGGCGCGAAAGCGUGGGGAGCAAACAGGAUUAGAUACCCUCGUAGUC
rnacentral:rRNA from 1 species